rnacentral:rRNA from 1 species
GUUGAACGCUGGCGGCAGGCCUAACACAUGCAAGUCGAACGAUUGGCGGACGUGUGAGUAAUGUCGGGGAAACUGCCGGAUGGAGGGGGAUAACUACUGGAAAAGGUAGCUAAUACCGCAUACCAUCGGAUGUGCCUAGAUGGGAUGAGCUAGUAGGUGGGGUAAAGUCUCACCUAGGCGACGAUCCCUCGCUGGUCUGAGAGGAUGACCAGCCACACUGGAACGGAGACACGGCCCAGACUCCUACGGGAGGCAGCAGUGGGGAAUAUUGCACAAUGGGCGGAAGCAUGAUGCAGCCAUGCCGCGUGUAUGAAGAAGGCCUUCGGGUUGUAAAGUACUUUCAGCGGGGAGGCGGUACCCGUAGAAGAAGCACCGGCUAACUCCGUGCCAGCAGCCGCGGUAAUAC